rnacentral:lncRNA from 1 species
CAACAUUUUCACACGGAAGGCCAACCCUAUCUUCUACCUCUCAUUCUCCCAGCCGCGGUCGUCGCCCCGAUUCACGCGGCAAGCCAGUGCAAAGCAGCCCAGCUUGACGCUUGCUCUUUGGUAGAUGAUAAGUAUUCCUUUACUUCAAUUAAUUUUUAGGCAAUGUAGACUUCUAAGAAGCGUCAAUCACUGUUUUGCCCUUCAAUUGAGGAAAGAUUUUGAGUGAUAUUAGGGACAGUGAAGGGUAAAAUUGCUAUUUAAGGGGAUUAGAUGAGAGUUAGCGUCUAACGUUUGAAUUGUAAAAGGAAAAAUUUAAAUUUUUUUUGAAAUAUAAACAUUUUUAGAUUGGCAGAUUGUCAAAUUAUUGUGUUGGCAUGAAUUAUGCAUUUUCUAUAUUAGUCAUAAAAGAUCAGUAUUGUGAUAUUUAACGCUAAAGAUGAGAGUUGACCUCUUCAAUUUAUUGUUUGUACAAUGGACCCCCAACAUCUUAUCCAUUGUUAAAAAAAAAAAAAAAAAGAGUCAUGUCAAACACUAUUGUUGAUUCGGUGGUUUUCGAGCUGACCUAGAUUUCAUACCUAUACUUUAGCGAUUCAAUCUUUUGUUAGGCACUUGAAUAAGUUUGAUUGUUGAUUUACAUAUUACAUAAAAUAUUAGAAAAUAAAUUUUGGAACGUGACUUGAUAUAUAUAUAAAAGUGUGUUAAGAAUAAACUUGCGGCUAUGAUCACGUCAAGUGGGUAUGGAAUACGGGAAACAUGAACUAUUCCUCUCUAGAGCUCUGCCUUGAUCACUUGAAGUUCUUUUUGUUUAUAGACUAAUUUUGACCCCAAAAAUCACUGUAGCUGAUACAUAAAAUUGUGCCCGCAUUGGACAAAUCCCUAACUCCACCCUUGUUGGAUCGGUCGGAUUUAUAGCAGCCACAAGCUCCAUCAUUAUGGUAAAUCCACUUGGAGGAAGUUGUGGAACUUAAUUAUUAUCGCUCCACAGAGUCAAGAUGCGGAUCAAAAAUUUAUUAAGGGCAAUUCCAAAAUUUUUGUACGUGUAAAUUUCGAUUUUCCCUAAUUUAUUUUUUAAAUAGGGGUUGUCAUUAGACUUUUAAAUUACAAUCAUAAAAAAU